AGCCUUGAGGUGUUUAUCAUGCUAGAUUGCAAAUCUAGAGAAGUAGACUAAAGUCUACCGGGGCUU
rnacentral:tRNA from 1 species